AGACCCACCUGACUCCAUCCCGAACUCAGAAGUGAAACGAAACAGCGUCGAUGGUAGUGUGGGGUCUCCCCAUGUGAGAGUAGAACAUCGC
rnacentral:rRNA from 1 species